UGGGGAAUAUUGGACAAUGGGGGCAACCCUGAUCCAGCAAUGCCGCGUGUGUGAAGAAGGUCUUCGGAUUGUAAAGCACUUUCGACGGGGACGAUGAUGACGGUACCCGUAGAAGAAGCCCCGGCUAACUUCGUGCCAGCAGCCGCGGUAAUACGAAGGGGGCUAGCGUUGCUCGGAAUGACUGGGCGUAAAGGGCGUGUAGGCGGUUUACACAGUCAGAUGUGAAAUCCCCGGGCUUAACCUGGGAGCUGCAUUUGAUACGUGUAGACUAGAGUGUGAGAGAGGGUUGUGGAAUUCCCAGUGUAGAGGUGAAAUUCGUAGAUAUUGGGAAGAACACCGGUGGCGAAGGCGGCAACCUGGCUCAUGACUGACGCUGAGGCGCGAAAAGCGUGGGGAGCAAACAGGAUUAGAUACCCUGGUAGUCCACGCUGUAAACGAUGUGUGCUAGAUGUUGGGUAACUUUGUUAUUCAGUGUCGCAGUUAACGCGUUAAAGCACACCGCCUGGGGAGUACGGCCGCAAGG
rnacentral:rRNA from 1 species